UACGUAGGGUGCGAGCGUUGUCCGGAAUUAUUGGGCGUAAAGGGCUCGUAGGCGGUUUGUCGCGUCGGGAGUGAAAACACUGGGCUUAACUCAGUGCUGGCUUUCGAUACGGGCAGACUAGAGGUAUGCAGGGGAGAACGGAAUUCCUGGUGUAGCGGUGAAAUGCGCAGAUAUCAGGAGGAACACCGGUGGCGAAGGCGGUUCUCUGGGCAUUACCUGACGCUGACAGCGCGAAAGCUAGGGGAGCGAACGGG
rnacentral:rRNA from 1 species